CGCCUUGUUAGAAGAAUACAAGGUCACUUCUGCUCAGUGCUUUAGUAAAUAGCUGCAGUAUCCUAACUGUACUAAGGUAGCAUAAUAAUUUGUCUCUUAAUUGGGGUCUAGAAUGAAUGAAUUCACGAGAGAUUAACUGUCUCUACAGUAAUAUAUGAACUUUAUCUUUAAGUAAAAAAGCUUAGUUAAACUGGAGGGACGACAAGACCCUAUAGAUCUUUACUGUUCAAUAUAACGUUGUUACCUUGAGCAAGGUUGUCUGGGAUGGACCUCAAAACUAAUUAACUUUAGAUAAAUAAACAAUAAUUAAUUAAAUUAAUGAUCCUUGGAUAGAUAAUUAGAAAAAGUUACCUUAGGGAUAACAGCACAAUUAUUACUAUUUAGACCAUUUGAAUAGUGAAGGUUGUGACCUCGAUGUUGAAUUAAGUUUACUGAUAGAUGAAGAAAGUUAUCAAGUUAGUCUGCUCGACUAUUAAAUACUU
rnacentral:rRNA from 1 species